rnacentral:rRNA from 1 species
CAUGCAGCCAGCGAAGGCAACGGAGCGGUGAACGGCUCAGUAGGACAGCGGUUUAUCUGACCAACGAUAUGGAUAACCACGGUAAGCUGUGGCUAAUACUACGAUGGGUGAGACUCUGGCCUAUUAGCUUGACGGUACGGUAAGUGCGUACUGUGGCGAUGAUGGGUAGCGGGGAAUCGGGGUUUGAUUCCGGAGAGGGAGCCUGAGAGAUGGCUGCCACGUCCAAGGACGGCUGCAGGCGCGAAAAUUACCCACUUGGAGGACCAGAGGUAGUGACGAGGCGUUAAUAAUGAGAGUAGUGUAAACAGCUACUUGAAGGCAAUUGGAGGGCAAGUCUGGUGCCAGCAGCCGCGGUAAUUCCAGCUCCAAGAGCAUCUGUGUGUGUUGCUGCGGUUAAAGAGUGCGUAGUCUGAUUUUUUGCCAGCAAUAAAGGUGCGAUAUCCAUUCGUGCAUUAUGCUGGUACUUUAAUCUAGGAACCGGAGUAGGGCAAUAUUAUUCGACAGCGAGGGGUGAAAACUGAUGACCUGUUGAGGAGUGACAGAGGCGAAAGCGGUUGUCCGGGACGGGUUCGACGAUCAAGCGCGUGAGCAGGAGUAUCGAAGGCGAUUAGAGACCGUCGUAGUUCCUGCAGUAAACGAUGCCAACAGGGAUGCAAGAGCUGUGUCCCAAGGGGAAACCGAGUGUAUAGGCUCCGGGGGAUAGUACGGGGCGCAAGCCAGAAACUUGAAGAAAUUGACGGAAGGACACCCACAAGGAGUGGAGUGUGCGGGUUAAUUUUGACUCAACGCGGGGCAACUUACCAGAGCAAGCAAUAUUGCGAGAAGGGCAUGUAUAAGUUAUGUGUUCUGAUGAUGUUGCGUGUGGUGCAUGGCCGUUCUUAACACGUGGGGUGACCUGUCUGGUUAAAUCCGAUAACGCGUGAGACCCUGAACAAUAGUGACGGUGCUCGAAGAGAGUAAGGAAGCACUGGUUGAUAACAGGUCUGUGAUGCCCGUAGAUGUUCUGGGCGCCACGCGCACUACAGUGGGAAAGGAUACUUUAAACGGUACUUUCUUGCGGUUGGGAUUGACGUUUGUAAAUACGUCAUGAACGUGGAAUUCCUAGUAGUUUGUUGUCACCAUCGACAGACGAAUGUGUCCCUGUCCUUUGUACGGCACCGCCCGUCCGUUAUCCUAAGAUGGAUGUGCCGGA